rfam:Oryza glaberrima chromosome 7 Oglab07_unplaced159_8, whole genome shotgun sequence.
UUUAAUCGCAAUCACAAGUUUUCGUGUUUAACUUUGAUUACUCGUUUUAUUUGAUUUUUUAUUGUGAUUCAAUGAUAAAACAUAAAUAGUAUUUUAUGCUUGAUUUAUAUUUUUUAGUUUUUUUUUCAAAUAAAACGGGUAAUUAAAGUUAGACACUAAAAUUUAUGGUUGUACUUACA